UACGUAGGGGGCGAGCGUUGUCCGAAGUUACUGGGCGUAAAGAGCGCGUAGGCGGGUCUUUAAGUGAGGGGUGAAAGGUUCAGGGCUCAACCCGAACACUGCCUUUCAUACUGGGGACCUUGAGUGCGGGAGAGGCGAGUGGAAUGGUCGGUGUAGCGGUGAAAUGCGUAGAUAUCGAUCGGAACACCCAUGGCGAAGGCAGCUCGCUGGCCUGCAACUGACGCUGAGGCGCGAAAGCGUUGGGAGCAAACAGG
rnacentral:rRNA from 1 species